GUCACACCCCUUUUUAACCGAACUUCACUAAACCCUCUUAAAUAAAAUAAAAGAUUUAGUAAAGCUCAAAAGAGUUUUUAAUUAAAAAGUGACAAAAUUGUGUUCAAAAGGAAAUAACUCAGAGUCGCCACCUGACAUUGGUUUCGGUGUGUCAGGUCACCGUUUUUUAAAAAAAAAAAAUUUCCUUUAAAACACUUUGGACUCCAAACUAAGUCUGCACUAGAGAUUCGGGUAAGGGGGUUCAUUUGACUCGGGGAGAAGGUGUUAGGCACUCCCCAUAUCCCGUAACUAGUACGGUUGCAUACUUGAUUAGGUUGGCACUUAAAAUAUUCAAAUUAAGGUAUAAACACAGAAAAGAAAAUAAACACAAUAGAGGCUCGAGGUCGUCCCCACCUAACCAAAAAGAAAUAAAAGAAGAAAAUAAAUGUAAAAUCCUAAAUACUAAUAUAUACUAUAAUUUUCCCACGAAGUUCGUCAUGGCCUCCAAAUACAUGAUACUACGGGGCAUUCCCCGGAAUAAAAUAUAUACAAAUUCUUCGGGGUAUUCCCCGGAUAAAUUUAACUAAGGGAGCGACCUCUCGCCUCAAGGCUAACAAAAUCUUAAAGCUUGCCUACCCAAGUGUGGUCGACUUAAACAUGCUCCUAUCGAUUCAGUAGAAUAUAAUAAUAACAAUUGAAAUUCUUUUUUUUUAAAUUUCUAGUACCCAAACCUCACUGCCACUUUAUCCAAUUCCAACAUUUACACCAAGUAUAUGUUUUUAAUAUACUAAUUCGCAAUAGCAGUGAUAAAUAUGCAGAUUAAGGGAAAGACAAUAGCAUGGUUGAAACAGAACUUCAUUCACGCUCAAAAUUCGAGUAGGAUGAGAAAUGGACCUUACCGUCGAAAUCUUUCAAUUUCGGAUUAACAAAAGAACACCCAACAAUGAAUCACCAACAAAUCUUUGAACGAGCAAUUGGACGUGCGACCAAAGAAAACUCGACCGGCAGCCUCGAAUUACAAAUAGAGCCAGCGACCGAAACAGCCUUACAAACUCAGUCGACCGGACAGCCUUACAAACU
rnacentral:lncRNA from 1 species